UACUCGAGUGGCGAACGGGUGAGUAACACGUGGGUGAUCUGCCCUUCACUUCGGGAUAAGCCUGGGAAACUGGGUCUAAUACCGGAUAGGAGCCAUUUUUAGUGUGAUGGUUGGAAAGUUUUUUCGGUGUAGGAUGAGCUCGCGGCCUAUCAGCUUGUUGGUGGGGUAAUGGCCUACCAAGGCGGCGACGGGUAGCCGGCCCGAGAGGGUGGACGGCCACAUUGGGACUGAGAUACGGCCCAG
rnacentral:rRNA from 1 species